GGGACACGUGGUAUCCUGUCUGAAUAUGGGGGGACCAUCCUCCAAGGCUAAAUACUCCUGACUGACCGAUAGUGAACCAGUACCGUGAGGGAAAGGCGAAAAGAACCCCGGCGAGGGGAGUGAAAAAGAACCUGAAACCGUGUACGUACAAGCAGUGGGAGCACCCUUUUGGGUGUGACUGCGUACCUUUUGUAUAAUGGGUCAGCGACUUAUAUUCUGUAGCAAGGUUAACCGAAUAGGGGAGCCGGAGGGAAACCGAGUCUUAAUUGGGCGUUAAGUUGCAGGGUAUAGACCCGAAACCCGGUGAUCUAGCCAUGGGCAGGUUGAAGGUUGGGUAACACUAACUGGAGGACCGAACCGACUAAUGUUGAAAAAUUAGCGGAUGACCUGUGGCUGGGGGUGAAAGGCCAAUCAAACCGGGAGAUAGCUGGUUCUCCCCGAAAGCUAUUUAGGUAGCGCCUCGUGAAUUCAUCUCCGGGGGUAGAGCACUGUUUCGGCUAGGGGGCCAUCCCGGCUUACCAACCCGAUGCAAACUGCGAAUACCGGAGAAUGUUAUCACGGGAGACACACGGCGGGUGCUAACGUCCGUCGUGAAGAGGGAAACAACCCAGACCGCCAGCUAAGGUCCCAAAGUCAUGGUUAAGUGGGAAACGAUGUGGGAAGGCCCAGACAGCCAGGAUGUUGGCUUAGAAGCAGCCAUCAUUUAAAGAAAGCGUAAUAGCUCACUGGUCGAGUCGGCCUGCGCGGAAGAUGUAACGGGGCUAAACCAUGCACCGAAGCUGCGGCAGCGACGCUCAGGCGUUGUUGGGUAGGGGAGCGUUCUGUAAGCCUGUGAAGGUGGCCUGUGAGGGUUGCUGGAGGUAUCAGAAGUGCGAAUGCUGACAUAAGUAACGAUAAAGCGGGUGAAAAGCCCGCUCGCCGGAAGACCAAGGGUUCCUGUCCAACGUUAAUCGGGGCAGGGUGAGUCGACCCCUAAGGCGAGGCCGAAAGGCGUAGUCGAUGGGAAACGGGUUAAUAUUCCCGUACUUGGUGUUACUGCGAAGGGGGGACGGAGAAGGCUAUGUUGGCCGGGCGACGGUUGUCCCGGUUUAAGCGUGUAGGUGUGUGUUCCAGGUAAAUCCGGUUCACUUUAACACUGAGGCGUGACGACGAGGCACUACGGUGCUGAAGCAACAAAUGCCCUGCUUCCAGGAAAAGCCUCUAAGCAUCAGGUAACAUCAAAUCGUACCCCAAACCGACACAGGUGGUCAGGUAGAGAAUACCAAGGCGCUUGAGAGAACUCGGGUGAAGGAACUAGGCAAAAUGGUGCCGUAACUUCGGGAGAAGGCACGCUGACACGUAGGUGAAGUGAUUUACUCAUGGAGCUGAAGUCAGUCGAAGAUACCAGCUGGCUGCAACUGUUUAUUAAAAACACAGCACUGUGCAAACACGAAAGUGGACGUAUACGGUGUGACGCCUGCCCGGUGCCGGAAGGUUAAUUGAUGGGGUCAGCGCAAGCGAAGCUCCUGAUCGAAGCCCCGGUAAACGGCGGCCGUAACUAUAACGGUCCUAAGGUAGCGAAAUUCCUUGUCGGGUAAGUUCCGACCUGCACGAAUGGCGUAAUGAUGGCCAGGCUGUCUCCACCCGAGACUCAGUGAAAUUGAACUCGCUGUGAAGAUGCAGUGUACCCGCGGCAAGACGGAAAGACCCCGUGAACCUUUACUAUAGCUUGACACUGAACAUUGAGCCUUGAUGUGUAGGAUAGGUGGGAGGCUUUGAAGCGUGGACGCCAGUCUGCGUGGAGCCGACCUUGAAAUACCACCCUUUAAUGUUUGAUGUUCUAACGUGGACCCGUUACCCGGGUUGCGGACAGUGUCUGGUGGGUAGUUUGACUGGGGCGGUCUCCUCCUAAAGAGUAACGGAGGAGCACGAAGGUUGGCUAAUCCUGGUCGGACAUCAGGAGGUUAGUGCAAUGGCAUAAGCCAGCUUGACUGCGAGCGUGACGGCGCGAGCAGGUGCGAAAGCAGGUCAUAGUGAUCCGGUGGUUCUGAAUGGAAGGGCCAUCGCUCAACGGAUAAAAGGUACUCCGGGGAUAACAGGCUGAUACCGCCCAAGAGUUCAUAUCGACGGCGGUGUUUGGCACCUCGAUGUCGGCUCAUCACAUCCUGGGGCUGAAGUAGGUCCCAAGGGUAUGGCUGUUCGCCAUUUAAAGUGGUACGCGAGCUGGGUUUAGAACGUCGUGAGACAGUUCGGUCCCUAUCUGCCGUGGGCGCUGGAGAACUGAGGGGGGCUGCUCCUAGUACGAGAGGACCGGAGUGGACGCAUCACUGGUGUUCGGGUUGUCAUGCCAAUGGCACUGCCCGGUAGCUAAAUGCGGAAGAGAUAAGUGCUGAAAGCAUCUAAGCACGAAACUUGCCCCGA
rnacentral:rRNA from 2 species